ensembl:lncRNA
UGGAUAGAGAGGGACAGCAGAGCCAACAAAAUUCACAAAAGACCUGGACAUAAAAGCUACAAGAAGACCUCAAGACAUGUCACAGUGAAGGACAUGGACCUUACCGGAACAGGUGACCAUAUUGCAGCUAAUGGCGUGGGACAACGGAAUGGAUCCCAGCCUUUGUAAAAGAGGGAAAUGAAGCGGUCUUCUUGUCAGACUCCGGAGACGGGCACAUCGUGCACCACUCCCUAGCAUACUUCGCCAAUAUCCAGUCUCUUGACAACAAGGUUGAUGAAAUCCGAGCAAGGGUAGCAUUCCAGAGGGACAUCAGAGACUGUAACGUUCUUUGCUUCACGGAAACAUGGCUCACUCAAGAGACGCUAUCGGAGUCGGUGCAGCCAGCUGGUUUCUCCACGCAUCACGCCGACAGAAACAAACAUCUUUCUGGUAAGAAGAGGGGCGGGGGCGUAUGCUUUAUGGUUAACGAGACGUGGUGUGGUCACAACAACAUACAGGAACUCAAGUCUGACUCAACUCC